CUUAAAUUGGGCUUUGAGCCUCUUGUGGGAAGUCAACCAGCCAUUCCUGCUUUAUCACCCGCAGGGAUCCUUCCGGGCCGCAGGACCACCAAGCCAAUGAGCCUGGGAAUGACCCUCCUGAGCAGGAUUUGUCCAAAGUGGGGCACCCCCUGCAGGAAGGAGGCCCCCUUCUGUUCAAGGAAGUCCAGCUUGUCUUCAAUUCCCAGCAGCUGAACGGGACGCAGCGAGUCCUCCUGGAUAAUGUCAUCUCGCCAAGCGAAUGCCAGGAGCUGGAGCACAUCGCCAAAAACAUCCUCCUGGCUGGUGAUGGCUACAGGGGGAAGACUUCUCCUCACACCCCGAAUGAGAAGUUCGAAGGAGCCACCAUCCUCAAUGCU